rnacentral:rRNA from 1 species
UACGGAGGGGGCUAGCGUUGUUCGGAAUUACUGGGCGUAAAGCGCACGUAGGCGGCUUUGUAAGUUAGAGGUGAAAGCCUGGAGCUCAACUCCAGAAUUGCCUUUAAGACUGCAUCGCUUGAACACGGGAGAGGUGAGUGGAAUUCCGAGUGUAGAGGUGAAAUUCGUAGAUAUUCGGAAGAACACCAGUGGCGAAGGCGGCUCACUGGACCGUUGUUGACGCUGAGGUGCGAAAGCGUGGGGAGCAAACAGG